GUUAGCAGGACUGUGAGAUGAACAAAACGUUCUGGAAAGUGGGUGUGAGGGUCAGAUGUGGAGGGAGUGAAAUCUUCCCAGGGAGAGAGCGUCUCUGGGUCAACCUGCUCCUGCUGGGCUGGGAGGGCUGAACACCCCCCACGCAUCACCCCAGGCUGGCCCUGACCCCAGCCUUCCCUGUGCCUGCAGCACCGGCAGCUGCUGAAGGACAGCUUCAUGGUGGAGCUGGUGGAGGGGGCCCGCAAGCUGCGCCACGUCUUCCUCUUCACCGACCUGCUUCUCUGCACCAAGCUCAAGAAGCAGAGCGGAGGCAAAACGCAGCAGUAUGACUGCAAAUGGUACAUUCCGCUCACGGAUCUCAGCUUCCAGAUGGUGGAUGAAUCGGAGGCAGUGCCCAACAUCCCCCUGGUGCCGGACGAGGAGCUGGACGCUUUGAAGAUCAAGAUCUCCCAGAUCAAAAGUGACAUCCAGAGAGAGAAGAGGGCGAACAAGGGC
rnacentral:sRNA from 1 species